AUUUUCAUAGUGGAAUUGGAAUUCCACAGAACUCUACUGGAUGUCAUUAUUGACCAUAAAAUUGAGCUUGAUAUUUUAGGAUGACUUUUGCUUGUUAGACGUCUCUCUUUGAACUAUUUUGAGAAGUAUAUUUGCUAUAUAAGCCCAACUUCAUCUCUGAAGUAUUUCCAGGUUCUUUGGUUUAGGAUUUUUCCUGAGAGUUGGCUAUUAAAAUCAGAAGCUGUGAUGUGUUUGAGAAGUUCCAAAGUCUUUCCAUCCCAUGGCUGGUACUUAUCCCGAUGAGUCUUGGGCUAGCAGGGGGGAGCUGCUUGUAUUCUGCCCAGAGCAUUGGGCAUUGGAGCAUUUUGGUGAGGAGGAGUAUAGCGUCUACCGCUGUAGGGCACAAAUGAGUCGUGUGUGUUUAUGUGUGUGUGCGCGCACUCUCCUGAUAAGCCUACGUUGUCUUUUGCAGAUAAAUCCGUGUCUUUUUUUCCCCUUUCUUUUCCCAGGUGGUCCAUAUUAGUGAACAUAGUGUUUUGUUUUGUUUUUCUCUUUGUAGGAUCUGCAUUUGCUGCUCCAGUAGUGUCCAACUUGAUGUCAUCCGCGGAUUUAGCAAAUGGGCCAUCUUUUCCAUCAUCAUCCGGUCAACCCGGGAUCACCACCGAGCAUCCUCCCCCGGCCCUGAUUGACAGAUUGCUGCUGUUGCUUGUCCUUUCCACCGAACGCCCUCAAACCCGGCAGGAAAGGGGAAAAGCUAACGGAGCUGUAGAGUCCAAGUGUGACUGCCAAGACGCAUCCAGAAAAGCCAAAGAGCCCGGGCAUGUCCGACCUUCCCGCAGCUUGCCACACACACACCUACAGCAUCCCGGGGAGAUGAGUGAGGAAUGGGAGGGAAGGGAGCGCCAACCAGGUGAGCAACCACGUCGGUCUGCGGGCUCACGCAACAGGAAGGGAUCCUUGGCAGUUCUGUGUAUUUGGCAGGAUUGUUGUAUGACCUGAGCUUACACUAAGUUGCCUCACAGCAAAUAACUUCUCACCAGGCGCUAUAAAGGGGAGGAUGACUCCUGGGCUGAGGACAGAUGAGUACAUCAAAGACGACUAAUUAGUUUCCAGGUGUGGUUGGGCAGGGUUGUCUCUCUGCUUUCAGGAAGGGGUUAAAGCCGAACUUUUGUCAGCCCUUAGGUGAGGUUCUUUUGUGCAAAGCCAGUGUAAAAGCUUUAAUACAGAGUCUCUGGGCUUUGGUCCUUAUGGUGGGGUGUGUGUGUGUGUGUGUGUGUGUGUGUGUGUGUGUGUUUGUAUCCACAAGAGGUGGCCAAGGUUGUGUUUCCUCUUUAUUAAUCUCAUUUUUUCUUUUCUUUUUUUCUCUUUCUUUCCUUCUUUACUUUCUUCUCUCCCUCCUUUUGUUCUUUCUUUCUCUCUUUCUCUCCACCUUUCCCCCUCUCUCUCUCUCUCUCUUUCUUUCUUCUGUCUUUGGGACAUGUGUUUUGAAGCUACCUUCCAGGUGAAUUGAAUUAGAUUACACCUUAAAAAAAAAAAAAACCUUAAAAAAGAAAAAACAUUUUAGUAAUGAAUUCACUGGUUGGCGUCUUUUGCCACACUUGGUGCCACAAUAGGAUUUGCUGGGGUUCCGUUGUGCUUCUAAAUUAGUUUUCAGUUUCUGCAGCCUGCUUUCCUUUUCAUUUCUGUUCAUGCUACCAUGAUGUGACGAGGAGGUAUUUUCUUGAUAGCAAGAUAUCCUUUAGAAAUGCCUUCUGAAUGCCUGCUCCUAAAAUCCAAAUGGAAUAUGAACCCAGGAGGGAGUUUAAUCCCUGAAACAAUUCUCAGGCGGGGUUCCUCGACCUCUGCGCUCUUGACAUUUUGAGCUGGAUAAUUCCGUAUCGUAUGGGACUUUCUAGUACAUUAUAGUAUUUAUUAGGACUCGGCUUCUACCCACUAAUUGCCAGUAGCACCCCCUGCCCCCAACAGGUAACCAUAAAAGUCCCAUGGACAAAAUUGCCCCCAGUUGGGAACUGGUGCCCUAGACCUGGAGGUGACUAAGGAAAAACAAGGUCAAGAAAACAGUGAAGAUGGAGAAUGUGGAGUUAGUUUUGGCUUCUUAAAUCUAUUACCUAUGUGGGUCUAAAAAAUGCACAUUCUUGGAGGGUAAGGUCCGCCAGUGGAAUUCUCACUUACCACCUAUGGUCUCUCCAUUAUUGACAGGAACGUGCUUGAGAUUAAUACAGUUGCGAUUCUGUUGGAAGUAUUGAUUUUGACGUUUUUACUAUCAAUCAAAGGAUUUCCG
rnacentral:lncRNA from 1 species